UUUGCUUUUAAUUUUUUUCCUCCUGCCUCUUUCUUGGGGAUAAUCGGAACAACAGGUAUUAGUUGAGUGAAGAAGUUAGAACUUGGGCAGGGAGCUUGCCCAGCAAUUAAAGCAUAUGAGGGUAUGGCUAAGUCAUUGAUGAUGGCCUUGAUUGGGACAUUCAAGGAACAGAACCAGAAGCCGCCCUGCAGAAUCUUUGCAGACACUCUCAAGACAUUUUAUUUGUAAUUACCCUUCUGUUAAGUCUUAUGAUCCUCCUUCCAGGUAAUUUGUCUGUGAUGAGACAAGUUAAAUGGUUUAUUCACCGUCACAGAGCUAAGUCCACGUUCAGUUCAGUCUGGCCAUUACUGGAAGAGGGGCUGACAGAGGCGGAUCCAGGUUACAGAGUUAUGAUGGUGGCGUAGCACUUUUAGGGACAGGUCAGGGAACAGAGGAAUAGGAUACUAGGGGUUGGAGUAGAAUAUCAGGUUUCAGUUGGAACCACAGAGCUGUUCAGAGGUGCUUGAGAUUCCUGGGUCCUGGGUGAGACCAUGGCCGAGGUUGGAAGUGGCCUGGGGGGCAUGAACACUGAAGUUCAGGCCAAGGAGCUGUGAGGCGUGGCUCUUUCUGUGUAGGUUGCCGGUUUCCAAGUGGUUGCGGUUGAGAGAAAGAGCCAGCUGCUUGGUCUGGUGUGUGGAGGAUGGAGCGGCUUGGAGGUCUGGCGGCAGUGAGCACAGAGAAUUGGUGUAUUGGUGGGUGGUGAGCAGCUUUAAAGAGAAGGCAUUUUGAAUGAGGGUGGAAAUCCUAUGGCCAGGAGACAGCAGCGCAGACUAGGAAAAUGUGGACUUCACGUUGGGCCCACGUUCCUGAGGUAUGAUUUGAAUGAACAGCCUCUAACCCAGAGGAGGACUUCGAGAAAUGCAGAGUCCUCAAAACCCAAGUGCAGAGUUUCAGCAGCCUUGAUACUCUGGUAAACUCCUCAAGGGGGUUGGUAAGAUUGUCAGGACGCCACCUAGUAGCAGUCUUGACUAAAGCGGUCACUUCUCUGAGGCCACCUCGGGAUUUCUAGAAGCUAGAUGGAGGCCGAUGGUUCACUGGCAGAUUGUCCCUUUUACUUAAGCUCACAACCAAUCUCUACACGAAAAUUAUGCCAGACCUUUGUGAGUGACAAACGGUGAUCCUCCCCUGGACCAAACUGCUACAAUUCUUACUGUCUUUGGUAGGUCUUCAGAAACACAAGACUAAUGCACGCCUGGGGCUCUAUGCCUCUGAAACCCACAUUAGUCCACAUUCGAGUUUGUCACGUUUUUCCAGAUAGGGAUUUAACUUUACUUCCCCAUUGCCAUUGUGGAGGUGGCAGGUUGCUACAAUUUGUAGUUUGUACAGCAUCAGGAAGGUGAGAGAUUAUCGUAGUCCCCCUCCUUUCUUUCUCCUAAUCAUGAAGAAACAGUAAGAUUUCAGUGAUCAGCCAUUAAUCCUCUUUAAAAGCCAGGUUAAAAACAGCACCAAGGAUUAAUCCAAAAUUAGGCAGUUUGCUAAUGAUCAGUAACCUGCUGAUCAAUUAAUACUAACGCUCGGUCAGGCUACUACAGGACUAAAGGUGUUGCAUCAUAAAAUGGGGACAGAAUGGGGCAGUGGGGUGGUAAUGCGGGGGCAGCAAACUCGAGUGCCGGUGGGCCCGGCAGGUAGUAGAAGGUAACGGGGCCCUGCUGGAGAACCCAUGCUAGCUGGGUAGCUUGAUGGGGAAAGUGAGCCCAGAGUUAGCCUCAUCUGUCCAUUUUUCCACAGAAGCUGGAUAAGUGACCUUUGAAUUGUGCUUUCAGUUUUUCGAAGGUGACCGUAAAUGAAUUUUUAUCUUGAAAACUAACCUGGGGGGGGGGGGUGGCAGGUGUGGCAGUGUUGCAGCUCGUAUGUGACCAGUCUCCAACUGGAAGCAUCAGGAAGCAUCCUUUGCCAUCCUGACUGGCUUUGGCCUUUUGAGCUUUUUUUAUUUUUUUUUUAAAGAUUUUAUUUAUUUAACAGAGAGAGACAUAGCAAGAGCAGGAACACAAGCAGGGGGAGUGGGAGAGGGAGAAGCAGGCCCCCCCGCGGAGCAGGGAGCCCGAUGCGGGGCUCGAUCUCAGGACCCUGGGAUCAUGACCUGAGCCAAAGGCAGACGCUUAACCGACUGAGCCACCCAGGCGCCCCCUUUUGAGCUUUUUUGAUCCCUACCUGUGGGAAACAUGGGCCUGGACCUAAAAUGUCUUUGACAAGCCUUUUAUUGGGUUUAAAAUACUCUACCUGUCCAUAAAGCAGACGUUAGCAUUCCAUAAUUACGUAACAAAUGUUAAGUUUGUUAAAAACAUCAGUUUAAUCUCGAUCAAAUACAAAAAACUCCGUUUUCAGCUUAUUCUAUAAAAGUUGGCUGAGGUGGCCCAAUUUAUCGUAUGUGACAGUAGUUUACUAACACUCAGUGUACUAAGAAAUAUUUUAGUACUGUUGCUUCAGUGUUCAGUGUGUUAGCGUUUUCACACACAGAACUGCAUGAGUCUGAUUGCUCCCCCGCCCUGCAGAUGCAGGGGAGGGGCUCCCAGAGAUGAAGGCCUUUCUCCCUGCAUCAGGCAGCUAGUGUGAGGAGAGCUGGGACCAGGAUUUGGUUUUUCUGGCCUUCCUGUCAGUGCUGUUUCUCCCAUACCGUAUGGCCUCAUUUAAAAAGAGAUGUGUCGCAUUCGAACUUUGUUUUCACCUCCAGACGGAUACUUCUAGGCUAGCAGUGUUCCUCUGGGAUUUGUAAUUGCAUAGAAUAACUUAUUAACAACAUGUAACAAAAGCUCCAAUUUUGUAUUAAAAACUACAUUUGCAUAGUAUUAAAUGUGGCAAGCAUGAAAAUGUUGACAGUAGCUGUCCCUGCUGGGCGGGACUACAAGGCCAUCCACCUUACUUAGUAUCUUCAAUUUCUUUUGCAAUGAGCACACAUUCUUUUUCAGGGAAAAAAAAAAAAAGGAAAAAAUGGACUCCAUCACCUCAAAACUGUAUUGUUUCCCUCAUAAGUAAGUUAUCAGCUUCUGGAGUUUUCAGUUUCCCUAUCUUGAACUCGGAAUGGAUAGCACUUGUUUCUUUUGGCUUCCCUUACCUAUCACCCUCGCCUACUAAUUUUAGACAAGUUGGGCUGAUAUAGUGAAAGAAAAAUAAAAUCAAGUACAUUUUAAGCAAGCAGAGGGAAAAAAAAAAAGUGUUUUGAGAAUUCCCUGUCUAGACCAGGAGUUAGUCUAAGCCUUCAAUGAAAAGCCAGAAUUGCUCUGUGAUCACAUCCAUCCCGGCGGUCUUAGAGGAGGGAGCCCAGGGAAAGGGCUAUUUUAAGAAACUGACGUUUCAAUCCUACUUUUUUCCCUUUAGCAUGAACUGCAAUGAGUCAAUUUGCUAAGAACAGAAUUCUCAUUUUUGAACGGACCCAAGGAACACAGUAACAUUCAGUUGGCUUCCCGCCUGCGCUUUUGACUAUGCAGCAGCUGGGACAAUCGUCGGGGGCAUACUGCAGGAUCAUCCCAGAAGAUUAAAUCACUUACUGGAAUAAACGGCAAAUUCAUAUUUGAGUGUACGUAUCAAAGAAUGAAAUCAUUCGUAAGCACAUCUUUAAAGCUUCAGAGAAAAACUUGGAGGCAGAAAAAUAAUAAGGAAAUAAUGAAACAGCAGAUGAUGCUCAGGAUUUUCAAAUUAAGAAUAUGCCACAAGAAAUAAGGAUCAGGAAUGCACAGCUGAUAUUAAUCUGUGAAAAAGUAUUUCUGAAUAUCUAUGUACAGUCAUAACCCAAACCUCAAAAUUAAGAUAGGUAGAACAUGCUUACACAUGAGUAAUGAAACACUAUCAAAGACUGUCUACCAACAAAGAGGGAAAAAAGUAAAUGCUUAAAAAUGUACAAGAGCUAUAUGAAGACUUUACAUUACAUGGAAAGAUGACUGCUUUAAGAUAAAAAUCUGCUUGUAAUAGAAUUGUUAAACUUAAAAAUUAUAUGACCAGUUACUCUCCCAGACACUAAAACAUCUUGAUCCUAGCACAUAAACAACAAAAGUACCAUUUGAAAUCCACGGGAAAGGGCUGCUUUGAGACAAAUCCUAGGGAAAAAACUGAUAAAUCUGAUUACAUACAGAGAAUGUUCACAUAGGAUGAUACCACCAAAACCAAGUCACAAACUAAACGACAACGUGGAUAGAAGAUGUUUGCAGGAAAAAAUGGCGGGGGGGGGGGGGAAUU